ensembl:lncRNA
GGUGCUCCGGGAGCCGGGCUGCCAGGAGCCAGGGGUGAACGUGGUGACCCAGGACCACGGGUAGGUAUUGCCACAGUCCCCCCAUGUCCCCACAGCCAGGGACACGAAGGCUCAUGGUGCCAGCCCUGACAGGUCUCUGAGCCAGAGCUGCAGCUGUCCCUGGGGUGGGGUGAUGCUGGGGUGCCCCCAACUCCCUUCUCAUAUCCCUUCCUCCUUGCAGGGUGAGGAUGGGCGCCCAGGGCCAGAAGGGGAUCGUGGGCCAGCAGUAAGUGCCCCCCUCCCUCAGCUGCACCCUGGUCUGGGUGAUCCCUUCCUGAGCACACCUCUCUUGUCCCCCACAGGGCUUGCCUGGGAACCGUGGGGAGCGUGGGGACAAGGUAAAGGACUCUGUGGGCUGGGGGGAGAGUGAUGCACCUCCAGGUGCUGGGGUGCCCAGGGAGGUGCUGCCUGCUUCCUGCUGUGCAUCUUUGCAUCAUCUCACCUCAUCCUCACAGGGAGACAUUGGGGCCCCAGGACCCAAAGGAGACAAGGUGAGUCCUUGGGCGGGGGGCAGUGGGGAGGCAGGCAGCAGCCCUGGCCCCCCUUCUCACCUCACCUCUGUCUCUGCUGUGGAUGUACAGGGUGAUACUGUGGUGGUGGAGGGGCCGCCAGGAGCACGGGGCAGCAAGGGGGAGCCGGGAGAGCGUGGCCUGAAGGGCACAGAAGGGGACAAGGGGGACAAGGGGGAGCAAGGCAUGCUCGGAGAGAAGGGCACGAGGGGUGAACAAGGAGAGAAGGGCUCCAUGGGCUUCCCUGGGGCACGUGGCCCUAGUGGGCAGAAGGGAGAGGUUGGAGCACCAGGAGAGCCUGGCGAGCCGGUGAGGAGUUGUGUCUGUGCCUCUGCCACCCCAGUGCAGGGCAGGAGCAGACCCUGCUCAUGCUGUGUGCUCUCCCACAGGGCCAGCCUGGCCGUGAUGGCAUCCCCGGGGCCCGGGGGGACAAGGGGGACAUGGGACCCCUGGGCAUGCGUGGCCUCAAGGUGGGUUGGCUUCUCUGGCUGCCAGCACUCUCCAGUUCUGGCUUGGCAUGGCUCUGACUUCCCAUCCUUGCAGGGUGACCGGGGCAUGAAAGGUGCCUGUGGCCUCAAUGGGGAAAAGGGUGACAAGGUGAGUGUGUGCCUGCAGGGUGCUGCAGGAGCCUGGAUGUUGCCUGGGGUCUGUGGCCCUUUGGAUCCCCUCCCUCAGCCAGCAGGAGCAGGGAGAUGGCUGAGGCCAGACCUUGACCCCGUGACAGGCUCAGGGGGUCCCCUCCUCGGCCUGUGGCUCUGGGCUGAGCACUGAGGGGUGAAGGACUGACUGCCCUGCCUCUCUCCUGCCUGCUGUAGGGAGAGCCAGGGAUCCCAGGGCGCUCGGGACUGCCAGGGAGGAAAGGAGAGCCGGUAAGCACCUCAAUGACACCAGGGUGGGACAGGAAAGCGUGGCUGGUGGCUGAUGGACAUCUGCUUUGUCCUCCAGGGAGAACUGGGUCUGUCAGGACCACCAGGCAUUCCUGGAAAGGAAGGGCUCAUGGGACCCAAGGUAGGUUAGAACUGUGCUGAGAAAAGCUGUGCUGGCACUUCAUCCCCUGGCUGCUUGCCCCCCACUGUGUGUCCCCUGCUGCCUGUCUCUUCCUCUUUGCAGGGUGACCGGGGAUUUGAUGGGCAGCAGGGAGCCAAAGGAGACCAGGGGGAGAAAGGAGACCGGGUGAGCAGGCUGGAAAGGGAUGGGAUGCAUUGCACCACAUUGCUUGUACCAGGAUACAGCCUUGGUUGGAAGCACAUCAGAGCCUGAUGCUCCCAGAAGAGUC